UUGCCUGGCGGCCAUAGCGCGGUGGUCCCACCUGAUCCCAUGCCGAACUCAGAAGUGAAACGCCGUAGCGCCGAUGGUAGUGUGGGGUCUCCCCAUGCGAGAGUAGGACACUGCCAGGCAUCAAAU
rnacentral:rRNA from 1 species